rnacentral:rRNA from 1 species
UGUAUAAUGGGUCAGCGACUUAUAUUCUGUAGCAAGGUUAACCGAAUAGGGGAGCCGAAGGGAAACCGAGUCUUAACUGGGCGUUAAGUUGCAGGGUAUAGACCCGAAACCCGGUGAUCUAGCCAUGGGCAGGUUGAAGGUUGGGUAACACUAACUGGAGGACCGAACCGACUAAUGUUGAAAAAUUAGCGGAUGACUUGUGGCUGGGGGUGAAAGGCCAAUCAAACCGGGAGAUAGCUGGUUCUCCCCGAAAGCUAUUUAGGUAGCGCCUCGUGAAUUCAUCUCCGGGGGUAGAGCACUGUUUCGGCAAGGGGGUCAUCCCGACUUACCAACCCGAUGCAAACUGCGAAUACCGGAGAAUGUUAUCACGGGAGACACACGGCGGGUGCUAACGUCCGUCGUGAAGAGGGAAACAACCCAGACCGCCAGCUAAGGUCCCAAAGUCAUGGUUAAGUGGGAAACGAUGUGGGAAGGCCCAGACAGCCAGGAUGUUGGCUUAGAAGCAGCCAUCAUUUAAAGAAAGCGUAAUAGCUCACUGGUCGAGUCGGCCUGCGCGGAAGAUGUAACGGGGCUAAACCAUGCACCGAAGCUGCGGCAGCGACGCUGAUGCGUUGUUGGGUAGGGGAGCGUUCUGUAAGCCUGUGAAGGUGUGCUGUGAGGCAUGCUGGAGGUAUCAGAAGUGCGAAUGCUGACAUAAGUAACGAUAAAGCGGGUGAAAAGCCCGCUCGCCGGAAGACCAAGGGUUCCUGUCCAACGUUAAUCGGGGCAGGGUGAGUCGACCCCUAAGGCGAGGCCGAAAGGCGUAGUCGAUGGGAAACAGGUUAAUAUUCCUGUACUUGGUGUUACUGCGAAGGGGGGACGGAGAAGGCUAUGUUGGCCGGGCGACGGUUGUCCCGGUUUAAGCGUGUAGGCUGGUUUUCCAGGCAAAUCCGGAAAAUCAAGGCUGAGGCGUGAUGACGAGGCACUACGGUGCUGAAGCAACAAAUGCCCUGCUUCCAGGAAAAGCCUCUAAGCAUCAGGUAACAUCAAAUCGUACCCCAAACCGACACAGGUGGUCAGGUAGAGAAUACCAAGGCGCUUGAGAGAACUCGGGUGAAGGAACUAGGCAAAAUGGUGCCGUAACUUCGGGAGAAGG